AUGAACGCUGGCGGCGUGCCUAAUACAUGCAAGUCGAGCGAACGGACGAGAAUCUUGCUUCUCUGAUGUUAGCGGCGGACGGGUGAGUAACACGUGGAUAACCUACCUAUAAGACUGGGAUAACUUCGGGAAACCGUAGCUAAUACCGGAUAAUAUUUUGAACCGCAUGGUUCAAAAGUGAAAGACGGUCUUGCUGUCACUUAUAGAUGGAUCCGCGCUGCAUUAGCUAGUUGGUAAGGUAACGGCUUACCAAGGCAACGAUGCAUAGCCGACCUGAGAGGGUGAUCGGCCACACUGGAACUGAGACACGGUCCAGACUCCUACGGGAGGCAGCAGUAGGGAAUCUUCCGCAAUGGGCGAAAGCCUGACGGAGCAACGCCGCGUGAGUGAUGAAGGUCUUCGGAUCGUAAAACUCUGUUAUUAGGGAAGAACAUAUGUGUAAGUAACUGUGCACAUCUUGACGGUACCUAAUCAGAAAGCCACGGCUAACUACGUG
rnacentral:rRNA from 1 species